rnacentral:lncRNA from 1 species
UCGUCGUCGGUGUGGAGCAUCAGCGACAGCGGGCGGCUGCUGUGGGCGGACAAGGCGUGGAGGGCGCACGCCGGGAUGGCGUUCACGCAGCUCGCCUACGACGGCUACCAAGUCCGUCGUCGACAGCGGCAUGAACCAGAUUGUCUUCUGCGUCCACCGCGAGGGCGACGACGGCGGAGCUCGGGCCGGGGCGGCGCAGAUCCGGCCGGAGCGACGGAUCUCGGCCGUGAUGGCACAAAUCGGGGGGCGGCGGCUCGUGCGCCGG